GAUGAAGAACGUAGCGAAAUGCGAUAAGUAAUGUGAAUUGCAGAAUUCAGUGAAUCAUCGAAUCUUUGAACGCACCUUGCGCCCUUUGGCCAUUCCGAAGGGCAUGCCUGUUUGAGUAUCAUGAACACCUCAACUCUCAUGGCUCGCCAUGAUGAGCUUGGAUUUGGGGGUCUUGCUGGCCUGUGGUCGGCUCCUCUCAAAUGGAUCAGCUUGCCAGUGUUUGGUGGCAUCACAGGUGUGAUAACUAUCUGCGCUUGUGGUUUUCCAUCAGAUAACCUUCAGUGAUGGAGGUUCGCUGGAGCUCAUAAACGUCUACCCUAAGCGGGGACAGCCCUUUGAAUGUUUGAUCUCAAAUCAGGUAGGACUACCCGCUGAACUUAAGCAUAUCAAUAAGCGGAGGA
rnacentral:misc_RNA from 1 species